UACGAAGGGGGCUAGCGUUGCUCGGAAUCACUGGGCGUAAAGGGCGCGUAGGCGGCGUUUUUAAGUCGGGGGUGAAAGCCUGUGGCUCAACCACAGAAUUGCCUUCGAUACUGUUUGGCUUGAGUUUGGUAGAGGUUGGUGGAACUGCGAGUGUAGAGGUGAAAUUCGUAGAUAUUCGCAAGAACACCAGUGGCGAAGGCGGCCAACUGGACCAAUACUGACGCUGAGGCGCGAAAGCGUGGG
rnacentral:rRNA from 1 species